AACAAGUACUGUUUCAUUAGACAGAGUGCAUGAAAAGCCAGCCUGUGCUUUGUUAACUUUAAACAAAUUGAGUGAAGCCAAGAAACACCGACAUGUUGUGACUCAUUUUCUCAGCAUUGAGCCACAUGGCUGACUUGAUUGUUUCUUGUUGCUGCACAAAGCAGCAGAAGACAACGAAAGCACCAGGAUGACUCAACACCUGUAAAGGAAAACAACAAGUGUGGAGCGUCACACAGGACAUAACCAAAUCCAGUCCACAAAUCAUGUGAUUCCUAUCUUGUUGGGUGAUGAAGUGUUUGUUCUAAUGACGACUUUUCCGGAAACUUUCUGUGGGAAAGCGGGAUCGUCUGACAGCUGACAAGCACGACAGCUUUCCAUUCUCAAUUGUGGCCGUGAUCAUAUCAGAUGAUAAAAA